rnacentral:rRNA from 2 species
GUUGCGGACAGUGUCUGGUGGGUAGUUUGACUGGGGCGGUCUCCUCCUAAAGAGUAACGGAGGAGCACGAAGGUUGGCUAAUCCUGGUCGGACAUCAGGAGGUUAGUGCAAUGGCAUAAGCCAGCUUGACUGCGAGCGUGACGGCGCGAGCAGGUGCGAAAGCAGGUCAUAGUGAUCCGGUGGUUCUGAAUGGAAGGGCCAUCGCUCAACGGAUAAAAGGUACUCCGGGGAUAACAGGCUGAUACCGCCCAAGAGUUCAUAUCGACGGCGGUGUUUGGCACCUCGAUGUCGGCUCAUCACAUCCUGGGGCUGAAGUAGGUCCCAAGGGUAUGGCUGUUCGCCAUUUAAAGUGGUACGCGAGCUGGGUUUAGAACGUCGUGAGACAGUUCGGUCCCUAUCUGCCGUGGGCGCUGGAGAACUGAGGGGGGCUGCUCCUAGUACGAGAGGACCGGAGUGGACGCAUCACUGGUGUUCGGGUUGUCAUGCCAAUGGCACUGCCCGGUAGCUAAAUGCGGAAGAGAUAAGUGCUGAAAGCAUCUAAGCACGAAACUUGCCCCGAGAUGAGUUCUCCCUGAGACUUAGAGUCUCCUGAAGGAACGUUGAAGACGACGACGUUGAUAGGCCGGGUGUGUAAGCGCAGCGAUGCGUUGAGCUAACCGGUACUAAUGAACCGUGAGGCUUAACCUUACAACGCCGAAG